UACGUAGGGACCGAGCGUUGUCCGGAAUCAUUGGGCGUUAAGAGCGUGUAGGCGGCUAUUUAAGUCCUGCGUGAAAUCCUGCGGCUCAACCGCAGACGGUCGUGGGAAACUGGAUGGCUAGAGUGCGGGAGAGGAGAGUGGAAUUCCCGGUGUAGCGGUGAAAUGCGCAGAUAUCGGGAAGAACACCCGUGGCGAAGGCGGCAUCCUGGACCAAUAUUGACGCUGAGGAGCGAAAGCCAGGGGAGCAAACGGG
rnacentral:rRNA from 1 species